rnacentral:tRNA from 1 species
UGGUGGAAUUCCCGAGCGGCCAAAGGGGGCAGACUGUAAAUCUGCUGGCAAUGCCUUCGGUGGUUCGAAUCCAUCUCCUCCCACCA